GUUUGAUCCUGGCUCAGGAUGAACGCUAGCGGCAGGCUUAACACAUGCAAGUCGAGGGGUAUAGGUUUUCGGACCUAGAGACCGGCGCACGGGUGCGUAACGCGUAUGCAAUCUACCUUUCACAGAGGGAUAGCCCAGAGAAAUUUGGAUUAAUACCUCAUAGUAUAGCAGUUUCGCAUGAAACCACUAUUAAAGUCACAACGGUGAAAGAUGAGCAUGCGUCCCAUUAGCUAGUUGGUAAGGUAACGGCUUACCAAGGCAACGAUGGGUAGGGGUCCUGAGAGGGAGAUCCCCCACACUGGUACUGAGACACGGACCAGACUCCUACGGGAGGCAGCAGUGAGGAAUAUUGGACAAUGGGCGCAAGCCUGAUCCAGCCAUGCCGCGUGCAGGAUGACGGUCCUAUGGAUUGUAAACUGCUUUUGUACAGGAAGAAACACUCCCUCGUGAGGGAGCUUGACGGUANUGUAAGAAUAAGGAUCGGCUAACUCAA
rnacentral:rRNA from 1 species